UGAUGGGAUGCAUGGUGGCAGGCAUAACAGUGAAGCAGCACCUGAGGACUACGUCCUGAUAUGCCUCUGCUGACCUGCACUGAUCUGUGUGAACUCCAUGAAUGAAGUCAACUACCGUCAGCUGCCCUCACUGCACUGCUUCCCAACUGACUGACCAGAAAUCACCUGAACUUCACCUGAACUGCACUGAACUGACCUGCAUUCAAUUGAACUGCUUCUCUCACCAGUUCUUCUUCUCAAUUCUCUUUGCUGAAUUGACUGAUUAGAACUUAAAGAUUUGCAUGCCUCUGUUUCCAGAGUGUGGGGAUUAAAGGAGAACCUGCCCAGCGGUGGAAUUGGCUACAGUGGUCUGAGACCUACAACAUCAAUCAUUAAUCAAUAAAAUGAUCACCUGACAUCAUUAAAAUACCAAUUUGAAGAAUUUCUCUCA